rnacentral:rRNA from 1 species
UACAGAGGGGGCAAGCGUUGUUCGGAAUUACUGGGCGUAAAGCGCGCGUAGGCGGCUCGGAAAGUCGGUCGUGAAAUGCCGGGGCUCAACCCCGGGACUGCGUCCGAUACUUCCGAGCUGGAGGCAGGUAGGGGAGAUCGGAAUUCCUGGUGUAGCGGUGAAAUGCGCAGAUAUCAGGAGGAACACCGGUGGCGAAGGCGGAUCUCUGGGCCUUGCCUGACGCUGAGGCGCGAAAGCUAGGGGAGCAAACGGG